rnacentral:rRNA from 1 species
CAGUACCGUGAGGGAAAGGUGAAAAGAACCCCGGGAGGGGAGUGAAAUAGAGAAUCUGAAACCGUAUGCUUACAACAAGUCAGAGCCCGUCAAAGGGUGAUGGCGUGCCUUUUGUAGAAUGAACCGGCGAGUUACCGUAUCGUGCGAGGUUAAGUUGAAGAGAUGGAGCCGAAGCGAAAGCGAGUCUUAAUAGGGCGCAAGUACGAUGUGGUAGACCCGAAGCCGAGUGAUCUAGCCAUGGCCAGGUUGAAGGUUGGGUGAAACCAACUGGAGGACCGAACCGACCCCCGUUGAAACGUUGGCGGAUGAGCUGUGGCUAGCGGAGAAAUUCCAAUCGAACUCGGCAAUAGCUGGUUCUCCCCGAAAUAGUUCUAGGACUAGCGUCGGAUAAAAGAUAAGUGGAGGUAGAGCACUGAAUGGAUGAUGGUCCCCCCCAGGGAUACUGAUUUCAAUUAAACUCCGAAUGCCAUUUAUUGAUCUCCGGCAGUCAGACAGCGAGUGAUAAGGUCCGUUGUCGAAAGGGAAACAGCCCAGAUCGCCAGCUAAGGUCCCAAAAUAUAUGCUAAGUGGAAAAGGAUGUGGAGUUGCACAAACAGCUAGGAGGUUGGCUUAGAAGCAGCCACCCUUGAAAGAGUGCGUAACAGCUCACUAGUCGAGUGGCUCUGCGCCGAAAAUGUACCGGGGCUAAGCAUAUUACCGAAGCUGCGAAUUAGUACGAUAGUAUUAGUGGUAGGGGAGCGUUCUGUACAGCGAAGAAGCUAUAGUGGAAGCGGUAGUGGAGCGUACAGAAGUGAGAAUGCCGGUGUGAGUAGCGAAAUGUUGGUGAGAAUCCAACACACCGUAUGACCAAGGAUUCCAGGGGCAGGCUCGUCCGCCCUGGGUAAGUCGGGACCUAAGGCGAGGCCGAAAGGCGUAGUCGAUGGACAACUGGUUGAUAUUCCAGUACCCGCGUAAGAGUGAAGGAGUGACAGAGAAGGCUAGGUGAACCACAUUACUGGAUUUGUGGACAAGCUAGAUAGCAGGCAGACAGGAAAAUCCGUCUGCAUGAUGCAAGUAGUGAAGUGGAGCCAACGGGUGACCAAGUAGCGAAGUCAUUGAUGCCAGCUCUCAAGAAAAGCUUCUAGCGUUAAUCUUAUGGCGGCCCGUACCAAAACCGACACAGGUGGUUGAGGAGAGUAUCCUAAGGUGAGCGAGAGAACUGUUGCCAAGGAACUCGGCAAAAUAGUCCCGUAACUUCGGAAGAAGGGACGCUCGAAAGAGCCGCAGUGAAAAGGCCCAAGCAACUGUUUAUCUAAAACACAGCUCUAUGCUAAGUCGUAAGACGAUGUAUAUGGGGUGACGCCUGCCCGGUGCUGGAAGGUUAAGGGGAACUGUCAUCGCAAGAGAAGCAGAGAACCGAAGCCCCAGUGAACGGCGGCCGUAACUAUAACGGUCCUAAGGUAGCGAAAUUCCUUGUCAGGUAAGUUCUGACCCGCACGAAAGGCGUAAUGAUUUGGGCGCUGUCUCGGCAGCAGACUCGGUGAAAUCUUAGUACCAGUAAAGAUGCUGGUUACCCGCAACUAGACGGAAAGACCCCGUGGAGCUUUACUGUAGUCUGAUAUUGGAUCUUGAUUAUUUAUGCACAGGAUAGGUGGGAGAUGAAGAUCUCAACACUCUGGUGUUGAGGGAGUCAGCGUUGGGAUACCACCCUUAAAUAAUUGAGGUUCUAACCGUGCUGAAACGACAGUCGGGACAGUGUCAGAUGGGCAGUUUGACUGGGGCGGUCGCCUCCUAAAAGGUAACGGAGGCGCCCAAAGGUACCCUCAGACUGGUUGGAAAUCAGUCUACGAGCGCAAAGGCAGAAGGGUGCUUGACUGCGAGAGCAACAACUCGAGCAGGGACGAAAGUCGGGCUUAGUGAUCCGGCGGUGCAGAAUGGAAUGGCCGUCGCUCAACGGAUAAAAGCUACCCUGGGGAUAACAGGCUGAUCUCGCCCAAGAGUUCACAUCGACGGCGAGGUUUGGCACCUCGAUGUCGGCUCAUCGCAUCCUGGAGCUGGAUUAGGUUCCAAGGGUUGGGCUGUCCGCCCAUUAAAGCGGUACGCGAGCUGGGUUCAGAACGUCGUGAGACAGUUCGGUCCCUAUCUGUUGUGGGCGUAGGAGAUUUGAGGAGUGCUGUCCCUAGUACGAGAGGACCGGGAUGGACAUAGCGCUGGUACACCAAUUGUUCCGCCAGGGGCAUAGUUGGGUAGCUAACUAUGGAUCGGAUAAACGCUGAAGGCAUCUAAGCGUGAAACCGGCUUCAAGAUGAGAUCU